GACGAACGCUGGCGGCGUGCUUAACACAUGCAAGUCGAGCGGAGCGGCGAACGGGUGAGUAACGCGUGAGUAACUGCCCCCCUCUCUGGGAUAACAGUUGGACACGGCUGCUAAUCCCGGAUAGUGGGGGAUGACUCGCCUCCUAUCAGCUUGUUGGUGGGGUAGUGGCCUACCAAGGCGACGACGGGUAGCCGGCCUUAGAGGGGGACCGGCCACAUUGGGCUGAGAGACGGCCCAAACGCGUACUGGAGGCAGCAGGGGGGAAUAUUGCACAAUGGGGGAAACCGUGAUGCAGAAACGCCGCGUGCGGGAUGACGGCCCUCGGGUUGUAAACCGCUUUCAGCCAUGACGCGGUAGUGGCAGAAGAAGCACCGGCUAACUACGUGCCAGCAGCCGCGGUAAUUC
rnacentral:rRNA from 1 species